rnacentral:misc_RNA from 1 species
AAAGAAGAACAUGCGUUUCAAGGUACCAUGGAUUUUAAAGACCAUGGAUUUGCUUAAAACUUGUGGGUUUUUAAAAAAARCUUUAAAAAGAAAUGACUAAAAAGCUUUUCCAGUGAUUUAAGAUGAUACCGGGGAAGGUUUUCCGGUUUAUCCCGGAGGGCUUGUAGCUCAGUCGGUUAGAGCGCGCGCUUGAUAAGCGUGAGGUCGGAGGUUCAAGUCCUCCCAGGCCCACCAAUUUAGGAUUGCUUAACCCACUAAAGACCCUCUCUAUAAGAAAAAUAUCUAUCGUUGGAGAAAGCUCUUUAUAGUCUAGAGUUAUCAAUAAAGUAUAGUCUAGAGUUAUCAAUAAAGUGUUCGGUGAAAUAUAAAAUAUAUUUUGCGAAAAUAAUGACAAUAAUAAAGCUCUUGACAGUAUAAAACUACUGACGGAUUGUCGCUUUAAGGGUUUUGAAGCGUUUUCUUUUAGGGGCCGUAGCUCAGCUGGGAGAGCACCUGCUUUGCAAGCAGGGGGUCG